CUUGCCUUUUCUCUUCACAAAUGCCUUGUGUGAGGUUCAAUGAACCUAGCCAUGGUUGACCAUCAUCCUUUUCACCCAAUUUGGCAUACCCUCCCUCUCAUUACUGUCCCACCAUUAGCUCCUCCCCAACCUCUGCCUUUUUAUUUUUUUCUCUCUUUUUGGUUACCCUUCAUUUUUCUUUUUAUUUUCUUUUCUCUUCUCCUCCACCGUAGCUAGCCUUGCACCACCACCACCACCUCACCUUCGAGUCACUCCCUUACUGUAUCUUCCCUCCCUUUUCCUCUCCAAGCACCGCCUCCUCCACCGUGACACCCACCGCACAUCACCGUGCAUUUUAUCAUUUUUUCUAAUUUUUCUAUUCACUUCUUUCUUCCUUAAAAAAAGUGAUCGAACCCACCUCCUUUCUUUCCCCUCCACCAGAACUGCACCUUUAUCACAGGAUCGUUGUCGCCGUCACCACCGUAGCACCACCGCCAAUGAGGGGUCGCUCGACAUCAACCCGAGAGACUGUUAACCAUUGGGAUUAAAUCGCUAAUUCGAGAGAUCUUUUAAAGAUAAGUGUUAAUAAUAAUUGAUAAUCAAUUUAUUGUAUUAACCUUAAAGAUGAUAGUCUUUAACUCAAGAUCGCCAUUUGUUUUUUGAUUAGGUAAUCUAAUUGUAAAUCCUUGAGUGGGUGUUCUGGGAGAUUAAUCACACUUCGGAUCUACGAUCAGAGCAUGGGAGGUAUCUGAUGAUUGAAGAUGAAAGAAUAAAGAGAUGUCAUGUUGUGCACUUUGUGCCACAUUUUGUUUGGCUUUACAAAGGUUCAAUUAGGAUGAAUUGAGAUUGUAUAUGUAUAAGUCAUUUAGCUUGGCGGAGGUUCAGAUGGAUAGUACAGAGAAUGGCCAAGCAUGCUCAAGUUACAAGUUAAGACAAUCCGUAAGGACUUGUCCUCAAGUUACAAGAUAAGACAGUCUAUAGGGACAUUCCUCCAAGUAUGAGUCCGCAGGGACAUUCCCCCAAUGAGUCUGUAGAUAUGUAUCCACCAAGUAUGAGUCUGCAGGUAUAUAUCCACUAAAUGUGAACCUGCAAGAUAAUCUACCAAGUCUUUAUGCUAUAUGUCUAUCUGCAAGAUUAUCUCAGACUAUUCAAAAUAUAUUCAUACGCAAGGCUACCCUCAGUGACUUGUUUCUGGUGAGUUGAAUAUUAUGUUAACCGCUCUUAUAUGUGAGCUGCAACUCACGUUCAAGUUGCUCAUCACACAAAUCUGUCUAUAUGAGUAAGAUGUGCAAAAGCACGCGCCGUGCCAAUGUAAGUGCGGUAGUAGAUGUGGGCUAUGUGAUGUGCAAGCUUUGUCUAAGUGGGAAUUGUGACAAGCGUAAAAGUUUGCCAAUGUAAAGGGAAGUCUCAAAUCAACUAAAGUUAUAGAUAUGUCGGACAAUUUAAGUUUAUACUCACUAUCAAGUUGUUCA